rnacentral:rRNA from 1 species
CAGCUCUCCGAGUGGUAGGGAUGAUUAUUGGGCUUAAAGCGUCCGUAGCCGGCUUAGCAAGUCUCCUGUUAAAUUCAGCGACCUAAUCGUUGAGCCGCGGGAGAUACUACUAGGCUAGGAGGCGGGAGAGGUCGACGGUACUCUCGGGGUAGGGGUGAAAUCCUAUAAUCCCGGGAGGACCACCAGUGGCGAAGGCUGUCGACUAGAACGCGCUCGACGGUGAGGGACGAAAGCUGGGGGAGCGAACCGGAUUAGAUACCCGAGUAGUCC